rnacentral:rRNA from 1 species
AUGAACGCUGGCGGCGUGCCUAAUACAUGCAAGUCGAGCGAACAGACGAGGAGCUUGCUCCUCUGACGUUAGCGGCGGACGGGUGAGUAACACGUGGAUAACCUACCUAUAAGACUGGGAUAACUUCGGGAAACCGGAGCUAAUACCGGAUAAUAUAUUGAACCGCAUGGUUCAAUAGUGAAAGACGGUUUUGCUGUCACUUAUAGAUGGAUCCGCGCCGCAUUAGCUAGUUGGUAAGGUAACGGCUUACCAAGGCAACGAUGCGUAGCCGACCUGAGAGGGUGAUCGGCCACACUGGAACUGAGACACGGUCCAGACUCCUACGGGAGGCAGCAGUAGGGAAUCUUCCGCAAUGGGCGAAAGCCUGACGGAGCAACGCAGCGUGAAUGAUGAAGGUCUUCGGAUCGUAAAACUGUGUUAUUAGGGAAGAACAAAUGUGUAAGUAACUAUGCACGUCUUGACGGUACCUAAUCAGAAAGCCCCGGCUAACUACGUG